rnacentral:rRNA from 1 species
UUGCUCCUUGAUUCGCGGCGGACGGGUGAGUAAUGCCUAGGAAUCUGCCUGGUAGUGGGGGACAACGUUUCGAAAGGAACGCUAAUACCGCAUACGUCCUACGGGAGAAAGCAGGGGACCUUCGGGCCUUGCGCUAUCAGAUGAGCCUAGGUCGGAUUAGCUAGUUGGUGAGGUAAUGGCUCACCAAGGCGACGAUCCGUAACUGGUCUGAGAGGAUGAUCAGUCACACUGGAACUGAGACACGGUCCAGACUCCUACGGGAGGCAGCAGUGGGGAAUAUUGGACAAUGGGCGAAAGCCUGAUCCAGCCAUGCCGCGUGUGUGAAGAAGGUCUU